UACAGAGGUCUCAAGCGUUGUUCGGAUUCAUUGGGCGUAAAGGGUGCGUAGGCGGCGCGGUAAGUCGGGUGUGAAAUCUCGGAGCUUAACUCCGAAACUGCAUUCGAUACUGCCGUGCUUGAGGACUGGAGAGGAGACUGGAAUUUACGGUGUAGCGGUGAAAUGCGUAGAUAUCGUAAGGAAGACCAGUGGCGAAGGCGGGUCUCUGGACAGUUCCUGACACUGAGGAGCGAAAGCGUGGGGAGCGAACAGG
rnacentral:rRNA from 1 species